GACCUGAUAGCUCAGUUGGUAGAGCAUCUCCCUUUUAAGGAGAGGGUCCUGGGUUCGAGCCCCAGUCAGGUUA
rnacentral:tRNA from 1 species